rnacentral:rRNA from 1 species
AUUGAACGCUGGCGGCAGGCUUAACACAUGCAAGUCGAGCGGUGUGAUGGUGCUUGCACUAUCACUUAGCGGCGGACGGGUGAGUAAUGCUUAGGAAUCUGCCUAUUAGUGGGGGACAACAUCUCGGAAGGGAUGCUAAUACCGCAUACGUCCUACGGGAGAAAGCAGGGGAUCACUUGUGACCUUGCGCUAGUAGAUGAGCCUAAGUCGGAUUAGCUAGUUGGUGGGGUAAAGGCCUACCAAGGCGACGAUCUGUAGCGGGUCUGAGAGGAUGAUCCGCCACACUGGGACUGAGACACGGCCCAGACUCCUACGGGAGGCAGCAGUGGGGAAUAUUGGACAAUGGGGGGAACCCUGAUCCAGCCAUGCCGCGUGUGUGAAGAAGGCCUUAUGGUUGUAAAGCACUUUAAGCGAGGAGGAGGCUCUUUUGGUUAAUACCCAAGAUGAGUGGACGUUACUCGCAGAAUAAGCACCGGCUAACUCUGUGCCAGCCGCCGCAGUAA